UACGGUGGGGGCAAGCGUUGUUCGGAAUUACUGGGCGUAAAGCGCGCGUAGGCGGACCUGCAAGUCGGGGGUGAAAGCCCGAGGCUCAACCUCGGAACUGCCUUCGAUACUGCGGGUCUCGAGUCCGGGAGAGGUGAGUGGAAUUCCUAGUGUAGAGGUGAAAUUCGUAGAUAUUAGGAAGAACACCAGUGGCGAAGGCGGCUCACUGGCCCGGUACUGACGCUGAGGCGCGAAAGCGUGGGGAGCAAACAGG
rnacentral:rRNA from 1 species